rnacentral:rRNA from 1 species
UCCUAGCCGUAAACGAUGGACACUAGGUGUUAGAGGUAUCGACCCCUCUAGUGCCGUAGCUAACGCAUUAAGUGUCCCGCCUGGGGAGUACGGCCGCAAGGUUGAAACUCAAAGGAAUUGACGGGGGCCCGCACAAGCGGUGGAGCAUGUGGUUUAAUUCGUCAUUAACCGAAGAACCUUACCAGGGUUUGACAUCCGCUGAAAGUCCAUGAAAGUGGUUCCCUCCCGAGCAAU